rnacentral:rRNA from 1 species
CUAUACGGUGAAACUGCGAAUGGCUCAUUAAAUCAGUUAUCGUUUAUUUGAUAGUACCUUACUACUUGGAUAACCGUGGUAAUUCUAGAGCUAAUACAUGCUGAAAACCCCGACUUCGGGAGGGGUGUAUUUAUUAGAUAAAAAACCAACGCCCUUCGGGGCUUCUUGGUGAUUCAUGAUAACUUAACGAAUCGCAUGGCCUUGCGCCGGCGAUGGUUCAUUCAAAUUUCUGCCCUAUCAACUUUCGAUGGUAGGAUAGUGGCCUACCAUGGUAUCAACGGGUAACGGGGAAUUAGGGUUCUAUUCCGGAGAGGGAGCCUGAGAAACGGCUACCACAUCCAAGGAAGGCAGCAGGCGCGCAAAUUACCCAAUCCCGACACGGGGAGGUAGUGACAAUAAAUACUGAUACAGGGCUCUUUUGGGUCUUGUAAUUGGAAUGAGUACAAUUUAAAUCCCUUAACGAGGAACAAUUGGAGGGCAAGUCUGGUGCCAGCAGCCGCGGUAAUUCCAGCUCCAAUAGCGUAUAUUAAAGUUGUUGCAGUUAAAAAGCUCGUAGUUGAACCUUGGGCCUGGCUGGCCGGUCCGCCUCACCGCGUGCACUGGUCCGGCCGGGCCUUUCCUUCUGGGGAGCCGCAUGCCCUUCACUGGGUGUGUCGGGGAACCAGGACUUUUACUUUGAAAAAAUUAGAGUGUUCAAAGCAGGCCUUUGCUCGGAUACAUUAGCAUGGAAUAAUAGAAUAGGACGUGCGGUCCUAUUUUGUUGGUUUCUAGGACCGCCGUAAUGAUUAAUAGGGAUAGUCGGGGGCAUCAGUAUUCAAUUGUCAGAGGUGAAAUUCUUGGAUUUAUUGAAGACUAACUACUGCGAAAGCAUUUGCCAAGGAUGUUUUCAUUAAUCAGUGAACGAAAGUUAGGGGAUCGAAGACGAUCAGAUACCGUCGUAGUCUUAACCGUAAACUAUGCCGACUAGGGAUCGGGCGAUGUUAUCAUUUUGACUCGCUCGGCACCUUACGAGAAAUCAAAGUC